rnacentral:rRNA from 1 species
UACGUAGGUGGCAAGCGUUGUCCGGAAUUAUUGGGCGUAAAGCGCGCGCAGGCGGUCCUUUAAGUCUGAUGUGAAAUCUCCAGGCUCAACUUGGAGGGGUCAUUCGAUACUGCCAUGACUAGAGUUCGGUAGGGGGAAUGUGGAAUACCUGGUGGAGCGGUGAAAUGCGCAGAUAUCAGGUGGAACACCCGUAGCGAAGGCGGCAUUCUGGGGCCGAUACUGACGCUGAGGAGCGAAAAGCGUGGGGGAGCGAACAGG